rnacentral:rRNA from 1 species
CCUACGGGGGACAGCAGUGAGGAAUAUUGGUCAAUGGACGAGAGUCUGAACCAGCCAAGUAGCGUGAAGGAUGACUGCCCUAUGGGUUGUAAACUUCUUUUAUAAAGGAAUAAAACGAGGCACGUGUGCCUUUUUGCAUGUACUUUAUGAAUAAGGCUCGGCUAACUCCGUGCCAGCAGCCGCGGUAAUACGGAGGAUCCGAGCGUUAUCCGGAUUUAUUGGGUUUAAAGGGAGCGUAGAUGGGUUGUUAAGUCAGUUGUGAAAGUUUGCGGCUCAACCGUAAAAUUGCAAUUGAUACUGGCAGUCUUGAGUACAGUUGAGGUAGGCGGAAUUCGUGGUGUAGCGGUGAAAUGCUUAGAUAUCACGAAGAACCCCGAUUGCGAAGGCAGCUUACUAAACUGUGACUGACAUUGAGGCUCGAAAGCGUGGGGAGCAAACAGGAUUAGAUACCCCAGUAGUC